rnacentral:rRNA from 1 species
UACGGAGGGUGCAAGCGUUAAUCGGAAUUACUGGGCGUAAAGCGCGCGUAGGUGGUUUGAUAAGCGAGAUGUGAAAGCCCCGGGCUUAACCUGGGAACGGCAUUUCGAACUGUCAGGCUAGAGUAUGGUAGAGGAGUGUGGAAUUUCCUGUGUAGCGGUGAAAUGCGUAGAUAUAGGAAGGAACACCAGUGGCGAAGGCGCACUCUGGACCAAUACUGACACUGAGGUGCGAAAAGCGUGGGGAGCAAACAGGGAUUAAGUACCCCGUAGUCC